AAGCUAACAAAUAUCACAUUUUCGGUUAACCCAUUUCAAUGUCAAGUGCAUUGUGCAUCAAUGCAAACACCAUUAUCGUGUUGGCCAUUAGCUGGCUGGCUGGCUAACUGAGCCCCAUUGUUGCCACGGACAAGCUGUAUUAAAAACAAAUUACAAAGUUAACC